UUAGCCUUUUGCCGAACAAUGUUCUCCUAACUUAUGCCAAUACGAGGCGGUCGCUCGGUCAAACGAAGGCGCCUGUCCCAACAACAUGUAAUCCAAUCGGACAUCGCAAGAGGGAGUGACUUUGGUUCCGACAAAACUACGCGUCAUCAAGGCAAAUCUCAAUGAUCCCCCAUCUUUAGCGUGUUUGGGCCAAGUAAAGGAUCAUCCCAACAUCAUAUGGGAGCCUACCUCUUUAAUAGACAUGAGGCAUUGGCGUGUCACACCAUGGAGUUGACCUAAACACACAGGCGCAACAAAUGGCCUGUGCAGGAUGAGAAAUUGCGUGCACCGGGCCCCUAAAAUUUAAAGGCCCAAUUAUAAGUUGUUAACCCAAAGUAAAAAAAAAAAAACUUAAACAACCUUUCACCGUUUCAUGCGUGCCAUUACUGCCAUCUAACCUCCAUUUCAAUUCCAAAUUACAAAUUCCAGAACUUCAACUCCUCGUAUUCUCCGUCACUUGCAGCCUUCCUAAUUCUUAUUUUCCAACCUCCAAAGCAAAAAAAUUGAAUACCUCACAUGUUCUCCAUUAUCCCCAAUUUUCAAAGAGAAAAAACAAUGUUGUUUGUGAGUUUAGUUGAUUUUUCAUAUUCCUUUCUCUUUGAUUAGCAUAUUAUAUAUGUAAUUCAAUUAUUUACGAGUCUUCAUCUUACUCAAACUCUCAUAUUGACAUCUGCAACAACUCUACGAAAUUGGCUAAUAAUGUUCUAUGUUUUUUUUGUUUCUACGGAUACUUCAAGGUGUAUGAAUAACAGACCUCAAGCGUACCUUCUUGCGGCCCCAUCAAGUCUCUCAACCUUCAACAAUCCUUAAUUUCUUAGACGAAAAUAGUUUGCAUGCCAGGGCUUAACGAGCCUUUUCAGUGCUCCUAUAGCUGAAGCAACUGGGAUUUCUAUUAUUAAAGAUGCAUUUCACAAGUAUAUGGUGGAUUUACAAAUGAAGUGAUUGUUGGCUAGGUCAAAUACUGUAUAAUUAUGAGAAAUAAGUUUAAGCCAGUGUUUUUAAUUUGCGUUGAACUCCUUACAAAAUGUUAUCUGAAAAGGCGAUGUACAAGAUAUAUUUUGGCUAAUGUAAGGAAACUAGAUAGCGAACUUCAUGUAUCAUUAAUUCAUUAUUAUUGUAUCGUAAAUUAGGUAAGAAUGGUUCAAUUAGUCCUACGUAAUCAGUAAACCAAUUUACUAGCUAAUAUUACUUUGUUAAGUGA